CCGACGUGAUCGCCUUGAAGUUAUGCAUGGAGUAGGAUGACUCACCAAUCUUCGGGGAAUACCGUUCUUGUCUAUGGAGCCACAUCCCACACCUGCUACUCACUCUGUGAAUUACCCCUCCCAUCGCAAGGGCUACUUCCACCGAAACUGAUCUUCCUGCCUUCCCACUGGUAUAACCGCAUUCCUGCACUUUUCAAGUUAGCCAACCGGGUUUAGCCAACCGGAUUGUGCCGUCCAACUCCAGCCAAUGGAGACAGGACACAGUAAGAAGGACAAGCUGCUUAGAGCCCUGAAGAUGAGUUUUCACCCCAGAG